UCUGGUCGUGGUUUCUUUCUUCCCAUUCAUCAGUGGAUGUCUGGUCGUGGUUUCUUUAGUUUAUCCCCUGCAGAGUGCAAAUUCACAGGUUCUUUUGGUAUUCAAUCGUUGUUUACCUUAAAAGUCUGAUAGCCGUUGCUCUCAUCCGUUCAGGUUCUCAGUUGAUUGAAAAGGGCAGCUGUAGCACCUCAAAUUUGCACCCCCAUUCAUG
rnacentral:lncRNA from 1 species